GCAAAGUGAGCAUGAAAGAUAUAUCACCGAGGAGGCUUUUGGUGGUUGUCCUGUGAUUAUUAGAGACUAUCCGAAGGACAUCAAGGCAUUUUACAUGCGGCAGAACGAUGAUGGGAAGACUGUUGCAGCCAUGGAUAUGUUGGUACCUCGGGUUGGAGAACUUAUUGGUGGAAGUCAAAGAGAGGAACGCCUUGAAUACCUAGAGGAACGUUUGGAUCACAUGAACCUCAACAAAGAAAGCUUUUGGUGGUAUCUUGAUCUGCGACGUUAUGGUUCAGUUCCUCAUGCUGGAUUUGGACUAGGCUUUGAAAGGCUCGUUCAAUUUGCGACUGGAAUAGACAAUAUCAGAGAUGCAAUACCUUUCCCUCGAACACCUGGCUCUGCAGAGUUUUGAGUUUUGACCUUAAAAGGGUACUACUCUUUAUAAAAAAUGAAUCGGUCCAAAAAGGUGCAGUGUCACCAAUACUACCUUCUGUAAUCCUUUUUUUGUCUUUUCACUAUUCAUUCGUUAUAUAGAUUUUGUAGAGCGUGUUAAAAUGGUGGAAGUUAUAGUCAUUUCUCCGAAAUAAUUAGAGAUAUGGAACACACCAAAAAACUGUGUUUUUCAUAAAAACUUA
rnacentral:misc_RNA from 1 species